rnacentral:rRNA from 1 species
UAUCUCUGUAGAGUCUGCAUAUCAAUAAGCGGAGGAAAAGAAACUAACAAGGAUUCCCCUAGUAACGGCGAGUGAAGCGGGAAGAGCUCAAAUUUGAAAUCUUCAAGGUUUGACCUUGACGAAUUGUAGUUUAAAGAAGUGUUUUCGGUUAGAGGAGUAGUAAAAGUUCUUUGGAAUAGGACAUCAUAGAGGGUGAGAAUCCCGUAUUUGACUAUUCUUUCUAGCUUUGUGAUACACUUUCAAAGAGUCGGAUUGUUUGGGAAUGCAGUCCAAAAUGGGUGGUAAAUUUCAUCUAAAGCUAAAUAUUGGCGAGAGACCGAUAGCGAACAAGUACCGUGAGGGAAAGAUGAAAAGAACUUUGAAAAGAGAGUUAAACAGUACGUGAAAUUGUCAAAAGGGAAGCGUUUGACACCAGUGUUGUUUUUCCGAAAAUCAAUUAAAAAUUGAUUCAUGCCAGGUUGUAUUGACCUUAUCAGCUUGCAAUUUGGUUUGGGUCUCUUUUUGAUGCACUUUUCGGUUAACAAGUCAACAUCAAUUUCCUUUGCUGUAAAAAGGUAAGAGGAAGGUGGCUUCAAUUUCGGUUGAAGUGUUUAUAGCCUUUUAUCUCUGCAGUCGGGGAGAUUGAGGUCUGCAGCGUAGAUCCUUCGGGGCUAGAUACAUUUAUGCUAAGUUAUAGCUUUUCAUAGACAACUUGUUGACUAUGUUUAGUCAUGUAGCUUACUCGUAAGUGCUAUUUUACCUACGCUUAGGAUGUUGAAGACUCUACAGAGAUA